UUGAGACUGUCUACUAAUGGUUUCUAAUUUGGCAGAUUGAUGGUAAAUUUGCCAGAUGCUGCAAAUAGAGAAAAGAUACUAAAGGUUAUUCUUGCAAAUGAGGAAUUGUCUCCUGAUAUUGAUUUUGAUGUUGUUGCGAGUAUGACAGAGGGAUACUCCGGGAGUGAUCUUAAGAAUCUAUGUGUAACUGUUGCAUGCCAUCCAAUUAAAGAGAUUCUGGAAAAGGAGAAAAAUGAAUGAGCUGGUGCUUUAGCAGAAAACAGAC